GACGAACGCUGGCGGCGUGCUUAACACAUGCAAGUCGAACGGAAAGGCCCUGCUCUUGUGGGGUGCUCGAGUGGCGAACGGGUGAGUAACACGUGAGUAAACUGCCCUUGACUUUGGGAUAACUUCAGGAAACUGGGGCUAAUACCGGAUAGGAGCUCCUGCUGCAUGGUGGGGGUCGGAAAGUUUCGGCCGUUGGGGAUCGACUCGCGGCUUAUCAGCUUGUUGGUGGAGUAGUGGCUUACCAAGGCUUUGACGGGUAGCCGGCCUGAGAGGGUGACCGGCCACAUGAGGACUGAGAUACGGCCCAGUCUCCAACGGGAGGCAGCAGGGGGGAAUAUUGCACAAUGGGCGGAAGCCUGAGGCGGCAACGCCGCGUGCGGGAUGACGGCCUACGGGUUGUAAACCGCUUUCGCCGGUGACGAAGCGUGAGUGACGGUAAUGAGUAAAGAAGCACCGGCUAACUACGUG
rnacentral:rRNA from 1 species